rnacentral:rRNA from 1 species
UACGUAGGGGGCAAGCGUUGUCCGGAUUUAUUGGGCGUAAAGAGCGUGUAGGCGGCCACACAGGUCUGCUGUGAAAACUCGAGGCUCAACCUCGAGCUGUCGGUGGAAACCGUGUGGCUAGAGUCCGGAAGAGGAGAGUGGAAUUCCCGGUGUAGCGGUGAAGUGCGCAGAUAUCAGGAGGAACACCUGUGGUGUAGACAGCUUACUGGACCAUUUCUGACGCUGAGACACGAAAGCGUGGGUAGCAAACAGG